rnacentral:rRNA from 1 species
GUCCUUUUGUAUAUUUAUUUAAGGUCUGACCUGCCCAAUGAUUUAUAUUUAAUGGCUGCAGUAUUUUAACUGUACGAAGGUAGCAUAAUCAUUUGUUUAUUAAUUAUAGACUAGUAUAAAAGGUUUUAUAAAAAUUAGGCUUUCUUAUUUAUAUAUAUAUGAAUUUAAUUUUUUAAUUAAAAAGUUAAAAUUUUUUUAUAGGACGAGAAGACCCUAUAGAACUUUAAUUUAAAUAAAUAUAAUAUUACAUUUAUUUAAAUUAAAUUGGGGAGAUUUAGAUUUUUAUUUAACAAUUAUUUUUUUUUCAAUAAUUUUUGAUUUUUUGAUCCAAUUUUUUUGAUUAUAAGAUUAAGUUACCUUAGGGAUAACAGCGUAAUUUAAUUGGAGAGCUCUUAUCGAUAAUUAAAGUUUGCGA